ACUCAAAGGAAUUGACGGGGGCCCGCACAAGCGGUGGAGCAUGUGGUUUAAUUCGACGCAACGCGCAGAACCUUACCAACCCUUGACAUGUCUCGUAUGGUUUCCAGAGAUGGAUUCCUUCAGUUCGGCUGGCGAGAACACAGGUGUUGCAUGGCUGUCGUCAGCUCGUGUCGUGAGAUGUUGGGUUAAGUCCCGCAACGAGCGCAACCCUCGCCUUUAGUUGCCAUCAUUUAGUUGGGCACUCUAGAGGGACUGCCGGUGAUAAGCCGGAGGAAGGUGGGGAUGACGUCAAGUCCUCAUGGCCCUUACGGGUUGGGCUACACACGUGCUACAAUGGCGGCGACAAUGGGCAGCGAAGGGGCGACCCGGUGCUAAUCCCAAAAAGCCGUCUCAGUUCGGAUUGCACUCUGCAACUCGAGUGCAUGAAGGUGGAAUCGCUAGUAAUCGCGUAACAGCAUGACGCGGUGAAUACGUUCCCGGGCCUUGUACACACCGCCCGU
rnacentral:rRNA from 1 species